rnacentral:lncRNA from 1 species
AUGUCUACGCGUGAGUCCUUUAACCCCGAAAGUUACGAAUUGGACAAGAGCUUCCGGCUAACCAGAUUCACUGAACUGAAGGGCACAGGCUGCAAAGUGCCCCAAGAUGUCCUGCAAAAAUUGCUGUAAUCUUUAUAGGAGAACCACUUCCAAGAAGAUGAGCAGUUUCUGGGAGCCGUUACGCCAAGGCUUGGCAUUGGAAUGGAUACUCGUGUCAUUCCUUUGAGGCACGGUGGGCUUUCCUUGGUUCAAACUACAGAUUACGUUUACCGGAUCGUAGACGACCCUUCCAUGAUGGGCAGGAUAGCACGUGCCAGUGUCUUCAGUGACCUCUACGCAAUGUGGGUCACGGAAUGUGACAAUAUGCUGAUGCUCCUUGGAGUCAGUCCUAAAAUGACCGACAGGGAAAGGGAUAAAAUGAUGUCUCUGAUUAUCCAGGGUUUUAAAGACGCAGCUGAGGAAGCAGGAACAUCUGUAAUGGGUGGCCAAACCAUACUAAACCCCUGGAUUGCCCUGGGAGGAGUCGCUACCACUGUCUGCCAGCCCAAUGAAUUUAUCA